AGUAUCAUGGCUUAGUGGUUCAAAGUGCCAUAAGGUUAUGCUUCUCUCUGUCAGGAUGAGGGUUCAAAUCCCUAAUCUGACAAUUG